rnacentral:rRNA from 1 species
AACGAACGCUGGCGGCAGGCUUAACACAUGCAAGUCGAACGGGUGUAGCAAUACACCAGUGGCAGACGGGUGAGUAACACGUGGGAACCUUCCUCGUAGUACGGAACAACUCAGGGAAACUUGUGCUAAUACCGUAUACGUCCGAGAGGAGAAAGAUUUAUCGCUAUGAGACGGGCCCGCGUCGGAUUAGGUAGUUGGUGGGGUAACGGCCUACCAAGCCUACGAUCCGUAGCUGAUCNGAGAGGAUGAUCAGCCACACUGGGACUGAGACACGGCCCAGACUCCUACGGGAGGCAGCAGUGGGGAAUCUUGGACAAUGGGCGCAAGCCUGAUCCAGCCAUGCCGCGUGAGUGAAGAAGGCCUUAGGGUUGUAAAGCUCUUUUGGCAGGGACGAUAAUGACGGUACCUGCAGAAUAAGCCCCCGG